rnacentral:rRNA from 1 species
GAUGAACGCUAGCUACAGGCUUAACACAUGCAAGUCGAGGGGAAACGGCAUUAAGUGCUUGCACUUUUUGGACGUCGACCGGCGCACGGGUGAGUAACGCGUAUCCAACCUUCCCAUGACUAAGGGAUAACCUGCCGAAAGGCAGACUAAUACCUUAUGGUCUUCACUGACAGCAUCAGAUGUGAAGUAAAGAUUUAUCGGUUAUGGAUGGGGAUGCGUCUGAUUAGCUUGUUGGCGGGGUAACGGCCCACCAAGGCAACGAUCAGUAGGGGUUCUGAGAGGAAGGUCCCCCACAUUGGAACUGAGACACGGUCCAAACUCCUACGGGAGGCAGCAGUGAGGAAUAUUGGUCAAUGGGCGAGAGCCUGAACCAGCCAAGUAGCGUGCAGGAGGACGGCCCUAUGGGUUGUAAACUGCUUUUGUAUGGGGAUAAAGUCAAUCACGUGUGAUUGUUUGCAGGUACCAUACGAAUAAGGACCGGCUAAUUCCGUG